rnacentral:rRNA from 1 species
GACGUAGGGCGCGAGCGUUGUCCGGAUUUAUUGGGCGUAAAGAGCUCGUAGGCGGUCUAGUAAGUGUGAAGUGAAAUCUCCAGGGCUCAACCCGGAAACUGCUUUACAUACUGCAAGACUGGAGUGAUGAAGAGGUUUGUGGAAUUCCUGGUGUAACGGUGAAAUGUGUUGAUAUCAGGAGAACACCCAUGGCGAAGGCAGCAAACUGGUCAUCAACUGACGCUGAGGCGCGAAAGCGUGGGUAGCAAACAGG